rnacentral:ncRNA from 1 species
AUGAGGGCGACCGAAUGUGGGGAGGAAGCGUGGAGCGCAACCACGGGCCGAUGGACAAGAACCGGAUAGAAGGCGGUGCCGACCAGGGCGAGCGGGCCAGAGACCGCGAAGCUCUCGUGAUCAAGGGUCGGUGUCGUAAAUCCGUCGGUUGUGUGGUGAAGGAACGCGUUC